rnacentral:rRNA from 1 species
CGUAGGGUGCGAGCGUUAAUCGGAAUCACUGGGUUUAAAGGGUGCGUAGGUGGGUUGGUAAGUCAGUGGUGAAAUCUCCAGGCUUAACUUGGAAACUGCCAUUGAUACUAUCGGUCUUGAAUACCGUGGAGAUGAGCGGAAUAUGUCAUGUAGCGGUGAAAUGCUUAGAUAUGACAUAGAACACCAAUUGCGAAGGCAGCUCGUUACACGAAUAUUGACACUGAUGCACGAAAGCGUGGGGAUCAAACAGGAUUAGAUACCCUGGUAGUCCACGCCCUAAACGAUGGAUACUCGACAUUUGCGAUAAACUGCAAGUGUCUGAGCGAAAGCAUUAAGUAUCCCACCUGGGAAGUACGACCGCAAGGUUG